UAGUUUUUUUAGAAAUAAAUUUAAUUUACAAAUUUUUAAUUUUUAAUUUAUUUUUUUAAAUUUUAAAAUUUAUUAAUUUGAAUAUUUUAAGGGAUAAGCUUUGAAAUAAAAUAUUAAAAAUUGUUGAGUAAUUGAUUUAAAAUGUAUGUGUAGAAUUAGCAAUCAUUUGUAAGUUUGUUAUAAAUUAUUUUAUAAUUUAUAUUAUUUAAUUUUGUUUUCAUUGAAUUUAUAAAAAUUUUUUUAUUAAUUUUAGAUAAAAAGCAAUACUGAUUAAAUUAGUAUAUUUAAGAUAUUGUUAAAAUAUUUUAUGUUGAUAAGUUUAUAUAAAGAACUCGGCAAAUUUAUUUAUACUCGCCUGUUUAACAAAAACAUGUCUUUUUGAAUUGUAUUUAAAGUCUGACCUGCCCACUGAAUAAUAAUUUUAAAUGGCCGCAGUAUUUUGACUGUGCAAAGGUAGCAUAANCAUUAGUCUUUUAAUUGAAGGCUGGUAUGAACGGUUGGACGAAGUAUAANCUGUUUCAUGUAAAUUUAUAAUAGAAUUUUAUAUUUUAGUUAAAAAGCUAAAAUUUUAUUAAAAGACGAGAAGACCCUAUAAAUCUUUAUAAUUAAUAUUAAUUAAAUUUUUUUGAUUUAUUUUAUUUUUUUGAUAUUAAUUAUUUUGUUGGGGUGAUAUUAAAAUUUAAUAAACUUUUAUUUUUUUAAAUCAUUAAUUUAUGAAUUAUUGAUCCAUUAGUAUUGAUUAUAAGAUUAAGUUACUUUAGGGAUAACAGCGUAAUUUUUUUUGAGAGUUCAUAUCGACAAAAAAGUUUGCGACCUCGAUGUUGGAUUAAGGUAUAAUUUUGGGUGUAGCUGUUCAAAAAUUAAGUCUGUUCGACUUUUA
rnacentral:rRNA from 1 species